GUUACAGUGAUAGUGCUGGGUGGAUGGUUGGACUUGAUGAUCUUAAGGGUCUCUUCCAACCUUGAUGAUUCUAUGAUUCUGUACUGUAUCUGUGGAAGCACUGACUUUGAAGUAAAGAUCCUCAAAACUGGGGGAUUUUUUUAGCAAGCAAACUAUUUACUGAGUUAGUACAUGCCUGCACAGUUGCUGAGGCACAUCUGAAAGCAUGCCGUCAGCCAGCUCUCCUGACAAGACAGUGAUAUUAACUUCAACUAGCAGAAGAAUUAAUGGGGGAAGAGUCCUUGCUCUUUUGUUGGCUUGGGUGAGUGAAUUGGAUCAUCUUGUAAUCAGACAAGCACCAGAGCCAACAACUGCAAAGGCGAUUGCAGCAUUUCUUCCUCCUGGUGGCAGCAGUCUGCUCACUCAGAUGCAUAAUACACAACCUGAGGGUUAGUUACACAACAGGUGAAGGUGUCAUUUCCUAUUGGGCCCUACCCAGCACUACACUGGGUGUUGGCUCUGAUGGGUAAUCAACCUGACAAGCUUACUAGUCACCUGGCCACCCUAGCACCAUGCUGAGAUAAGACAACUACACUGGUGUCUCUUCAACCCAGAGUGCUGUGCUGUCUGUAGUCUUGCCCUAUGCAAUAAAAAUUAUUAAUAGAUGAUGAUUUGAGCAUUAACACCUGAAAUACUGUUUGGUCUCUAGUUAGUUUUCUCAAAUUACUGUCACCCUGAUUAUACUAACUUCAUUUGUAAAAUUAUACCAAUUUACAUUGGGCAUUAGCAUGUUAAAUGGUUUAGUUGCCAUACAGAUGGUCAUUCUUUUGGAUGGGGUGGGUAAUGUUUGGGGGGUUUUUGUGCAGUCUGUAUUGAACUCUCAGAUGCAAAUCCUUGCUUGAGGAGUUGUCUUGCAAAGAAGCACUAAGACACAGCAGCUGACAUUAACAGUGUGUUGCUGUGAUUAGCAGACAAAACCUGCAUAAGUCUGUCAUAUCUGCAAGGACUUUCUGUAGCUGCCCUAAAGGUCAGCUGUUUAGUUUAGCUGAAACUUCUUCACAAAGCUUUUAAUGUGAAAUGAAAAUACUUCCCCUUGCUUCAUCACUCCAACUAUUACAUUGAUGCAAUAGACUAAAAAUUGCUCCAGUAGCACUUGUGCUAUUUUGGUCCAAUUUUAAAAACAAUCCUAACAAAUUCUUAAAUAAGAAAGUGAUUUUAUCUUCACAGAAACUAUUACAUAGAGCAGUUAAUGAAGUUUAUUUGUAUUUGGUAAAUUGAGUUGGAAUACCUGUAAUGAAAGUCUUUUAAGCACCUGCUGUGGAACCUAGGACACUGAAUUAGAUCAUGUCCUAGUUAGCAGUUACCUGCUUAACAGUGUAUGUUCUUUAAAGAUAUCAGCAAAGAACUGUUUGGACUUAGCAGAGGGAAGUGCUGAGGGCAGAACUUCUUUUACAUGCUUCAGGUACAGGAGAGUGGCACCUGAUGCUCAGUCUUACUAACAUCAUUUCAUUUCCACAAAAUGCCAACCCCCAAAAAACCCCAUUUUGUAAAAUGAGGGAAAAAUCAGUCAUGGCUGCCACAGGUUUGCUCUCCAUCCACGACUCAAAGGUUAAAGCAUCUAUGCAGAACACUGAAGGUAUGGUUUUAGUAUCUGCUGCCUGUGGGGAGCUGUGAAAGUGAACUGAAGGCCUAGGAGAGGAUGUGAGUUAAGACUUCUUGGGGAUGGCGUUAAGGUAGUCCCUUUUUAAAGUAAUUCAUACCCAAAGUAAAAUCAUGAUUGUUCCUUCACUGGAGUGGGCAUUUGGACCUUUUUUUACAGGCUCAGUGAUUUCUUUAGCACUGCAACUUAAUUGUGAAACAGUGGUGGAAAUUCUGAGCCAUGGUUUAAAAUCAAAUCAGAGGUGCCAGCUGCACUGUAUUUGGAUUGUGUUGCAGUUGGCAUAGCCUAUGCAUGUUCAGAUGACACUUCCUGUUCAAAACUUCCAAAAGCUUACACAUGAGAACGAUCAGUUUCUGGCCUCAGGCAAAAAUAAAAAUAUAAAUGUUGUUGGAACACUCAAAGCUUGUUUCAAAGUACAUACUAGAGGAGAAAGUAAUAAAAGUUUCAUCAAGGGUUAAUUAAAAAAAAAAACAAGAAAACCCCCAACACAAACUCAGAAUUUCCUGCAGAGCUUAAGUGCCUCUAGAAUUGUACUGCAGUCCUAGUUCCCAAAUCCCUGUUCCAUUUGUGAUCUAAAUGUGUGCAUUCAAAGCUUCUCACUGCUGCUGUGCAAUGGCUACCUUGGUGAGAAGGACCUGAAGCCACUUAAGCAUCUCCUGUUGCACUUUUGCAGAAGCAUUUUAGAUCUUACAGGGCAAAACAGCCUCUUACCAAUCAGCCUUAUCAGGAAACACAAAGUUAGUGUUCCAGUUGGAACCUCGAAGCACAUCUAUCCACACAAAACCUAACAUGCACUCUGCAUGUUAAAACAGCCACCCUCGUUAUAAGCAAUUUGAUCCCCUUUCUACUGGAAGAAAGGACAAAACUUCACCUUUCCCUCAGUUCUUGGAAGAGUGCUUUAACCACCACAGGCAUGCAGAGAUCUGUGGGAGGGAAGGCAAGAUCUUGAUCUCCCCUUUUCCCCCCACACUGUCUCAGUUUGUUUCCUUAAAUAACUGCAACAGAGCUUGCCUCUAGAGCUUUGGGUUUCUGCGUUGGCAGUCUCAUAGCAGGCCUCAGACAGGUCCUGUUAUCUUUCUUCUGUAUGAAUAUGAUGACUAUGAAAUGUCAGUUCAGCUACAGUGGGGAACUUUCCACAGGAUUUACUUACUGAAGAGUAUUCCCUGAGUGCAAAGGCGAUCUUAGACAGAUUUGUUGUUCCCUGUAGGAGGUAAAAUUCAAAACUUCUUUAGGAAGGAAUGAAGAUGUAUUUGCACAGAAGUUGGUAAGAGAAUGAACUGUAACAGCUUAUCUCUCUCUCUCCUGUUCCGAUGACAGAUGUCAUCACCAGUAGGAGGGUAUCUUCACAGAAAAAUAGUACAGCAAACAAGCUGCCAGAAGCUCAACAGAUGCUUGCAUUGGUCCGAAGUGCUGAAGAAUUUGAGUGCGAAAUUUGUUUCUUAAGUUUUGGAACCAACUGCAGGCCUGACUGUAAACAAAAUUGUGAAGCUCUCUCAAUUUCUUUAGCUCUUCUUCAUCAGCAACCUGUAGGACGAAAAUUAAGAAAACAUGAUUAGUGAUAAAGAAACAAUUAAGGUGUUUAAGCUAAAAUAAAAAAUCACUCAAUUUCAACUAUA